UGUGAUAGACGACGGGAAGUCUCUUACUAAAGCUUUGGAACCAUCCCCGUCUUUCCUUCCUUUACAGAUUCGGGAAGUCUGUGCCUCGAAGUCUUUUAAGUGACACGGGAGCCAAACUGUGCAGGAACUGAAUGAAUGGAGAUCAAAACAAAGCUAAUGAUCUUAUUGGCUGGACUCCAGAUCCACUGCUCCUAAUACAGGGUCUGAGCACAGGCAUCUAUCAGGCACCAGUGAUGCACAGAUGAAACUCCGAAAUCAAGCUUCCUGAGCUAUUAAGAUGCUGCUGGUCUCCUAAAGGUGGAAAACCGACAAUGGCAAUCAUAGCUGACACUUGUCAUACCUUAGACACCAUGCAGAAUAAUGUGAAAGUCAGCUAAGAGGCCUGGGGCCUGUCCUUAAAAAUGGGUUCCAGGCAAUGUCUGAUUGCACUUAAGGCCCACUACAUGCCAGGGAGCCCAUCCCCGACACCGCUUGACUGGCCAAGAACCUGAGACAAGAUAGGCCAGCGACCUAGAGGAAAACCAAACACUACUGUUUGCUAAAGGAACGUAGCAAUAAAAUGACUCCUAAUGACGCGCUGCUGUACUCAUAGAUCAGUGGCUUGCUCAGCCAUCACCGGAGAUGCUCCCUUCUGCAGAAGAUGGGAACAAAUACAGAGACCCACAGCCAAUGUGCAGAGAGUGAGAGACCUUGAACUACUCCGUUAUUUGUGCCAGCGAGACAAAGAUAAUCCAGAUCUGACGAGAGUAAGUUCAGGAGAGAAUGGCAAAUCCGAAAAUAGAGGUGGAAAUAAAAGAAACACUCUCUGCCCUUUGCAGUAAGGCAAACAGCAGCUGAAGAGACAUGGAGUCAAGAAGCUCUUGCUUUGUUACACAGUGGGAAUGAGAAAGAUGCAGUAGAGAGAAAGAUUGAUGCAGGAUUCAAUCAGUGAGCCUGAGACAAACAGCUACAGCUUCACAGGAACAGUAUUGUUGUAAAGGUCUUAUGCACUGCAGAGAAGUUGAGGCCAUUCAACAAUUAGUGUCCCUAUUCCGAGAAGUGAAUUUUGGUGGCGUGAGUAGGAAAAAACAACACGGAAAUAAGAAAGACCCACGAUGGCCAUUUGGAGCACAAUGGGACCUUGUUUACUCGACGACGUGGACUCCAGCGUUCCCUUGAAAAAACGCAAGUGAUUAAGAAAAUACUUUGAGAACCUAAUAAUAGUGCCCUGUAAUCUGAGAACCACCUCUCAUCUUUCUGAG